UCAAGCUACAAAGGGCGCAUGGUGAAUGCCUUGGCAUCAGGAGCCGAUGAAGGACGUGAUAAGCUGCGAUAAGCUUCGGGUAGGCGCACAUAGCCUGAGAUCCGAAGAUCUCCGAAUGAGGAAACUCACAUGGGAAACCCCAUGUAUCAUUAAGUGAAUACAUAGCUUAAUGAAGGUAACCCAGGGAACUGAAACAUCUAAGUACCUGGAGGAAGAGAAAGAAAAAUCGAUUUUCUUAGUAGCGGCGAGCGAAAGGGAAAGAGCCCAAACCGGAAACUUGUUUCCGGGGUUGUGGACAUAACAUAAAAGUGGAGGCUAUUGUAACUGAAGAGAACUGGAAAGUUCCACCGUAGAAGGUAAUAGUCCUGUAAGUGAAACGAGAAGACCACGAGUUAUGAUCCAGAGUACCACGAGACACGUGAAACCUUGUGGGAAGCAGGGAGGACCACCUCCCAAGGCUAAAUACUACCUGAUGACCGAUAGUGAAGCAGUACCGUGAGGGAAAGGUGAAAAGAACCCCGGGAGGGGAGUGAAAUAGAACCUGAAACCGUGUGCCUACAACCGCUCAGAGCCCCUUAUGAGGGUGAUGAGGUGCUUUUUGUAGAACGAGCCAACGAGUUACGGUAUGUAGCAAGGUUAAGUACUUAAGGUACGGAGCCGAAGGGAAACCGAGUCUGAAUAGGGCGACUAGUUGCAUGCCGUAGACCCGAAACCGGGUGACCUAUCCAUGGCCAGGUUGAAGCGAGGGUAAAACCUCGUGGAGGACCGAACCACGUUGCUGUUGAAAAAGCAUGGGAUGAGCUGUGGAUAGCGGAGAAAUUCCAAUCGAACCCGGAGAUAGCUGGUUCUCUCCGAAAUAGCUUUAGGGCUAGCGUCGAGUAUGAGUAGUGGAGGUAGAGCACUGAAUGGGCUAGGGGGCAUAGCGCUUACCGAACCUUAUCAAACUCCGAAUGCCACAUACUUUGAGCUCGGCAGUCAGACUACGAAUGAUAAGAUCCGUGGUCAAAAGGGAAACAGCCCAGAUCGUCAGCUAAGGUCCCAAAGUGUAAGUUAAGUGGGAAAGGAUGUGAGAUUUCUAAGACAACUAGGAUGUUGGCUUAGAAGCAGCCAUUCAUUAAAAGAGUGCGUAAUAGCUCACUAGUCGAGAGAUCUUGCGCCGAAAAUGUAACGGGGCUAAACUUACCACCGAAGCUACGGGCUUGAACUUAGUUCAAGCGGUAGGAGAGCGUCGUAACCGGGCUGAAGUCGUACCGUAAGGAGCGGUGGACUGGUUACGAGUGAGAAUGUUGGCAUCAGUAGCGAGAUGUGGGUGAGAAUCCCACAGGCCGAAAACCUAAGGUUUCCUCAGGAAGGUUCGUCCGCUGAGGGUUAGUCGGGACCUAAGCCGAGGCCGAAAGGCGUAGGUGAUGGACAACUGGUUGAUAUUCCAGUACCACUACUAUCGUUAUUAUCGAUGGCGUGACGCAGGAGGAUAGUGUGUGCUAGCUAUUGGAUGCUAGUCUAAGCGUUUAGGCAGUGAGAGUAGGCAAAUCCGCUCUCAUAAUGCUGAGGCGUGAUGGGGAAGGUUCUACGGAACCGAAGUACAUGAUUCCACGCUGCCAAGAAAAGCGUCUAGAGAGAGAAGUAGUGCCCGUACCGCAAACCGACACAGGUAGGUGAGGAGAGAAUCCUAAGGCCGGCGGAAGAAUUACAGUUAAGGAACUCGGCAAAUUGACCCCGUAAGUUCGCGAGAAGGGGUGCCUACGAGAGUAGGCCGCAGAGAAUAGGCCCAAGCAACUGUUUAGCAAAAACACAGGUCUCUGCUAAAGCGUAAGCUGAUGUAUAGGGGCUGACGCCUGCCCGGUGCUGGAAGGUUAAGGGGAACACUUAGCGCAAGCGAAGGUGUGAACUUAAGCCCCAGUAAACGGCGGCCGUAACUAUAACGGUCCUAAGGUAGCGAAAUUCCUUGUCAGGUAAGUUCUGACCCGCACGAAUGGCGUAAUGACUUGGGCACUGUCUCAACUGUAAAUCCGGCGAAGUUGUAGUGCGAGUGAAGAUGCUCGCUACCCGCGAUUGGACGGAAAGACCCCGUAGAGCUUUACUGUAGCUUAGCAUUGAGUUUUGGUAUUGUCUGUACAGGAUAGGUGGGAGACUAGGAAACUAGGGCGUCAGCCUUGGUGGAGUCAACCUUGGGAUACCACCCUGACAGUACUGAAAUUCUAACUGGCGGCCAUGAAUCUGGUCACAGGACAUUGUUAGGUGGGCAGUUUGACUGGGGCGGUCGCCUCCUAAAAAGUAACGGAGGCGCCCAAAGGUUCCCUCAGAACGGUCGGAAAUCGUUCGAAGAGUGCAAAGGCAGAAGGGAGCCUGACUGCGACACCCACAAGUGGAGCAGGGACGAAAGUCGGGCUUAGUGAUCCGGUGGUACCUCGUGGGAGGGCCAUCGCUCAACGGAUAAAAGCUACCUCGGGGAUAACAGGCUGAUCUCCCCCAAGAGUCCACAUCGACGGGGAGGUUUGGCACCUCGAUGUCGGCUCGUCGCAUCCUGGGGCUGAAGUAGGUCCCAAGGGUUGGGCUGUUCGCCCAUUAAAGCGGCACGCGAGCUGGGUUCAGAACGUCGUGAGACAGUUCGGUCCCUAUCCGUCGCGGGCGUAGGAAAUUUGAGAGGAGCUGUCCUUAGUACGAGAGGACCGGGAUGGACUGACCUCUGGUGUACCAGUUGUUCCGCCAGGAGCACAGCUGGGUAGCUAAGUCGGGAAUGGAUAAACGCUGAAAGCAUCUAAGCGUGAAGCCAACCUCAAGAUGAGAUUUCCCAUAGCGUAAGCUAGUAAGAUCCCUUGAAGAACACAAGGUUGAUGAAUCUGUUAAGUUGUUAUGAAAAAAUAGCUUAACUAUUCUUAAAAUUACUCGUUCUUUGAAAAUUAUAUAAGUUUGAAUAAAUUUUUGCAUGGCAAACAAACCUGCAAGAUGAUUUGAUUUUUUGCAGGUUAAUCAAAGAUAUUAAUAAUUUAAGCAGUAAUAAACCAAUUAUGUUUACUAGAAUCAUUAGUACUAAAACCGGCUACUUCGGCAGGCGUAGAACCGUUUAAUGAUCCAUGAGGUCUAAUAAAAUUAUAGUGAAAUAUAAACAUGUACACUAAGUUAUUAGCUUUUUCAAAAGAGUUAAAGCCUUUUUUAGCUUUAUACCAUGCUUUAAAUGUUUUAUUGAAAGACUCUAUUAAGUUAUUAUUUGUAUCACUAGACAUAGGUGGUACAGGAAUAUGAGUGCUUUCAUUUAACACGGUUUUAACUGCUUCGUUAUAGGACGGUAGUCUAUCUGUGAUAAAGUGCUUAGGUUUACCCAUAGAUUUAGCUUGAUUCAUAAGAAUAAAUGCUGCAUCAGAAUCACGUGCUUGUGUUAGAUGAAAAGCUAACACAAAACGUGUUUCAGAGUCUAUAGCAAGCCAUAGAUAAUAUUUUUUACCGCUUAUAAAUACCACGGUUUCAUCGGCAUGCCAAUCAUCAGAAUUUAAAUCUAAUUGAGCGUUAAAUAUCUUAGCUUUUUCUUUAAAAUAAGGUGCAAAUUUAUGUACCCAACUAGAUAUAGUAACAUGUGAAACCGAGAUAUUAGAUGUUACUUUUAAAAAUUGAGAAAUUGCUCUAGUUGAAGUAUUAUUUAAAAAAUAUAAGGUUAAAGCUGUAAGUAUUGUGUGAAGUGGAAAACGCAUUCCUUUCAUAGAAAGGGACCCGGUUAAAUUCUCACUUGAAGCUAAAUCUAUGUUUAAAUUGUGAUAUUGAGAGAAAGCAUGAUUACACUUUCUGCUUCCACAUUUAUAACGAUUAUAGUGCUUGUAUUUAUGGUGAAGAUAUGUGGCUUUAUUACAUUUAGGACAUCUAGGGUACUUAGACUUUGGACGGCUACUGACGGAGUUAGGCGCGAAUUGUCUACCACAUUCUUUACAUUGAUAUUUUUGAUUAGCCUGCUUGUCAAAUCCAAACUUAUAUAGUUUUUCCGAAUGACAACGAGGGCAUUUUAUAUUAGUUUUGUUCAUUGCUUUUUUCUCCUUUCUUGAGGGGGGAUAAAUGUUUUUCGCAAACUCAUUGUAUUCUCAAAAGUUGAAAAGAGCAAUGUUCAUUUAACUUAACAGAUCGAGGUUGAUAGGUCGGGGGUGUAAGCAUGGUAACAUGUUCAGCUGACCGAUACUAAUAGAUCGAGGGCUUGACCAA
rnacentral:rRNA from 1 species